rnacentral:rRNA from 1 species
AGGAUAAACGCUGGCGGCGUGCCUAACACAUGCAAGUCGAACGCUCUCUGGCAACAGAGGGAGUGGCGGACGGGUGAGUAACACGUGGGUACCUACCCCAAGGUGAGGAAUACCGGCGAGAAAUCGCCGACAAUACCGCAUAUCUUUCUUCGGAAAGAAAGCUCGGGCAACCGGGCGCCAUGGGAAGGGCCUGCGGCCGAUUAGCUAGUUGGUGAGGUAAAAGCUUACCAAGGCGACGAUCGGUAGCUGGUCUGAGAGGACGAUCAGCCACACUGGGAUUGAGAACGGCCCAGACUCCUACGGGGGGCAGCAGUGAGGAAUUUUCGUCAAUGGGGGCAACCCUGAACGAGCAACGCCGCGUGCAGGAAGAAGGUUUUCGGAUCGUAAACUGCUUUUCUCUGGGACGAGAACGGACGGUACCAGAGGAAUCAGCCCCGGCUAACUACGUGCCAGCAGCCGC